rfam:Camelus ferus unplaced genomic scaffold scaffold1815, whole genome shotgun sequence.
GUGGUUGUAGCUCAGUGGUAGGGCACGUGUUUAGCAUGCAUGAGGUCCUGGGUUCAAUCCCCAGUACCUCCA